rnacentral:rRNA from 1 species
CCUACGGGUGGCAGCAGUAGGGAAUCUUCCACAAUGGGCGAAAGCCUGAUGGAGCAACGCCGCGUGGGUGAAGAAGGUCUUCGGAUCGUAAAACCCUGUUGUUAGAGAAGAAAGUGCGUGAGAGUAACUGUGCACGUUUCGACGGUAUCUAACCAGAAAGCCACGGCUAACUACGUGCCAGCAGCCGCGGUAAUACGUAGGUGGCAAGCGUUAUCCGGAUUGAUUGGGCGUAAAGGGAACGCAGGCGGUCUUUUAAGUCUGAUGUGAAAGCCUUCGGCUUAACCGGAGUAGUGCAUUGGAAACUGGGAGACUUGAGGGCAGAAGAGGAGAGUGGAACUCCAUGUGUAGCGGUGAAAUGCGUAGAUAUAUGGAAGAACACCAGUGGCGAAAGCGGCUCUCUGGUCUGUAACUGACGCUGAGGUUCGAAAGCGUGGGUAGCAAACAGGAUUAGAUACCCCAGUAGUC